rnacentral:rRNA from 1 species
CCUCCUCUUGGCAGCAGUGAGGAAUAUUGGUCAAUGGACGGAAGUCUGAACCAGCCAUGCCGCGUGCAGGAUGACGGCUCUAUGAGUUGUAAACUGCUUUUGUACGAGAAUAAUAGGUCUUACGUGUAGUGAUUUGAAUGUAUCGUACGAAUAAGGAUCGGCUAACUACGUGCAAGCAGCCGCGGUAAUACGGAGGAUUCGAGCGUUUACCGGAUUUAGUGGGUUUAAAGGGUGCGUAGGCUGUCGGAUAAGUUAGAAGUAAAAUGUCCGGGCUUAACCCCGUUGCUGCCUCUGAUACUGUUAGACUAGAGAGCGGAUGAAGCGGGCGGAAUGAGUAGUGUAGCGGUGAAAUGCUUAGAUAUUACUCAGAACACCGAUUGCGCAGGCAGCUUGCUAAUCCGCAUCUGACGCUGAUGCACGAAAGCGUGGGUAGCGAACAGGAUUAGAUACCCGAGUAGUC